GAUGAACGCUGGCGGCGUGCCUAAUACAUGCAAGUCGAGCGAACGGACGAGAAGCUUGCUUCUCUGAUGUUAGCGGCGGACGGGUGAGUAACACGUGGAUAACCUACCUAUAAGACUGGGAUAACUUCGGGAAACCGGAGCUAAUACCGGAUAAUAUUUUGAACCGCAUGGUUCAAAAGUGAAAGACGGUCUUGCUGUCACUUAUAGAUGGAUCCGCGCUGCAUUAGCUAGUUGGUAAGGUAACGGCUUACCAAGGCAACGAUGCAUAGCCGACCUGAGAGGGUGAUCGGCCACACUGGAACUGAGACACGGUCCAGACUCCUACGGGAGCCAGCAGUAGGGAAUCUUCCGCAAUGGGCGAAAGCCUGACGGAGCAACGCCGCGUGAGUGAUGAAGGUCUUCGGAUCGUAAAACUCUGUUAUUAGGGAAGAACAUAUGUGUAAGUAACUGUGCACAUCUUGACGGUACCUAAUCAGAAAGCCACGGCUAACUACGUG
rnacentral:rRNA from 1 species